rnacentral:lncRNA from 1 species
AACUUGUUCCCGUAAAGAGUGGCUACCGGCUGCCGCCGCCCCGCCGCUCGGGCGGGAGGGCUGCGGGGCUCGGGAGGGCUGCGGGGCUCGGGAGGGCUGCGGGGGCGGCUCGGGGCUCAGGGAGGGCUGCGGGGCCGGCUCGGGGCUCAGGGCUGCGGGAGGGCUCUGGGGCUCGGGGUUGUGGGGCCGGCUCGGGGCUGCGGGAGGGCUGCGGGGCCGGCUCGGGGCUCAGGGAGCGCUGCGGGGCUCAGGGCUUCUGGAGGGCCAGCUCGGGGCUCGGGGCUGCGGGAGGGCUCCGGGGCUCCGGGGCUCGGCUCCCUCGCUGGGGGCCGCUCGCUGCCCGUGCCCGGCGGGGCUGGCCGGUGCCCCCCCGCUCCUUCCCCGGGUAGCGAUCAGCCCGGCGGCUCCGCCUGAGGAGGGGGCACGGAGAGCCCCGAGCAGGGCAGGGAUCCCUCAGGAGCGGGUGGCCGUGUCUGGCCGGGCACGAGAAGCGCCGCCGGGUCAGCCUUUGCCGUGCGCAGCUCUGGCCUUGGGGGUGUUUGCCGCAGACGCCGUGCGCAAAGACAAAGUUUGGCACAAACACCUGUCUGGAGGUGUGAGGAAAAAUGCACUAUGCCAAGUCCUUUUCAGUUCUUUCACACAGAAAGCUCUUGCUGGCACACAGGGAGCAGAUGAUUGUUCCUCGAGUGCUUGGACUGGACUGGGACCACUCCAGAGCUGAGGAAUAAUUUCAUUUUUCCAGAAGGAGGCGGGAAAACCAUGGACUUCCACGUAAGAAUGGUUGGAGAGAAACUUGGAAGUCGUGCAGCUUGUUAAUGAUUUAUUCUGACCGGCAUUUGCCCUCUCAGUGUCCCGAAGCUCGGCGCUCCCCGUGUGGGGGACGAGCGGGGCCUGGCGCGCGGCGCCGCAGUGACACAUGCGCGACGCGGGCAGUGGCUCGCGCCUGACACCCGGUGGCGCGCAGCAGUACGGCAGUGGAACAGCGCGCAUGCGCGUUUGCCAGCGGAGGCUCUUUGGACGUGGGAAUUCAGGGCAAAAAGGAAACCCCCGUGAGCAUGCGUGGUGCUGUGGAAUGGGAGGCGCAUGCACAGUGACGUGCCCGGCGCGGAGCCGGGGCCGCCCGGCAGAGCUUUUCCUGGGACGCAAACCCUAGGGUUUUCCUGGGAAAUAAAACCUGGCUUUUUCCUGGGACA